rnacentral:tRNA from 1 species
GCCAGUGUGACUUAGUGGUUUGAGUGUUGGACAGUGAAUCUGGAGACCAGGGUUCAGUUCCCUGCUUGGCCA